rnacentral:rRNA from 1 species
AGUCGAGGGGCAGCACAUGAGUAGUAAUACAAUGGUGGCGACCGGCGCACGGGUGAGUAACACGUAUGCAACCUACCCUUAACUGCGGAAUAACUCGUCGAAAGGCGGACUAAUACCGCAUAACAACAUUUAGCUGCAUGGCUUAAUGUUUAAAGAUUUAUUGGUUAUGGAUGGGCAUGCGUUUCAUUAGAUAGUUGGUAAGGUAACGGCUUACCAAGUCUACGAUGAAUAGGGGUUCUGAGAGGAAGGUCCCCCACACUGGUACUGAGACACGGACCAGACUCCUACGGGAGGCAGCAGUGAGGAAUAUUGGUCAAUGGGCGAGAGCCUGAACCAGCCAAAUCGCGUGAAGGAUGAAGGUAUUAUGUAUUGUAAACUUCUUUUGUCAGGGAAUAAAGUGCGGGACGUGUCCCGUUUUGUAAGUACCUGAAGAAUAAGGAUCGGCUAACUCCGUGCCAGCAGCCGCGGUAAUACGGAGGAUCCAAGCGUUAUCCGGAUUUAUUGGGUUUAAAGGGUGCGUAGGCGGGUGUAUAAGUCAGUGGUGAAAGUUUUCGGCUCAACCGAAGAAUUGCCAUUGAAACUGUAUACCUUGAGUGUAGAUGAGGUGGGCGGAAUUCGUAGUGUAGCGGUGAAAUGCUUAGAUAUUACGAAGAACUCCAAUUGCGAAGGCAGCUCACUGGGCUACAACUGACGCUGAGGCACGAAGGUGCGGGGAUCAAACAGGAUUAGAUACCCUGGUAGUCCGCACAGUAAACGAUGAAUACUAACUGUUUGCGAUACACAGUAAGCGGUACAGCGAAAGCGUUAAGUAUUCCACCUGGGGAGUA